rnacentral:rRNA from 1 species
GACGAACGCUGGCGGCGUGCCUAACACAUGCAAGUCGAACGGAACUGUUUUGAAAGAUUUCUUCGGAAUGAAUUUGAUUUAGUUUAGUGGCGGACGGGUGAGUAACGCGUGAGUAACCUGCCUUCAAGAGGGGAAUAACAUUCUGAAAAGAAUGCUAAUACCGCAUGACAUAUCGGAACCACAUGGUUUUGAUAUCAAAGAUUUUAUCGCUUGAAGAUGGACUCGCGUCCGAUUAGUUAGUUGGUGAGGUAACGGCUCACCAAGACCGCGAUCGGUAGCCGGACUGAGAGGUUGAACGGCCACAUUAGGACUGAGACACGGCCCAGACUCCUACGGGAGGCAGCAGUGGGGGAUAUUGCGCAAUGGGGGCAACCCUGACGCAGCAACGCCGCGUGAAGGAUGAAGGUUUUCGGAUUGUAAACUUCUUUUAUUAAGGACGAAAAAUGACGGUACUUAAUGAAUAAGCUCCGGCUAACUACGUG